rnacentral:rRNA from 1 species
GCUAGCUACAGGCUUAACACAUGCAAGUCGAGGUGCAGCAUUUUAGUUUGCUUGCAAACUGAAGAUGGCGACCGGCGCACGGGUGAGUAACACGUAUCCAACCUGCCGAUAACUCCGGAAUAGCCUUUCGAAAGAAAGAUUAAUACCGGAUAGCAUACGAAUAUCGCAUGAUAUUUUUAUUAAAGAAUUUCGGUUAUCGAUGGGGAUGCGUUCCAUUAGUUUGUUGGCGGGGUAACGGCCCACCAAGACAACGAUGGAUAGGGGUUCUGAGAGGAAGGUCCCCCACAUUGGAACUGAGACACGGUCCAAACUCCUACGGGAGGCAGCAGUGAGGAAUAUUGGUCAAUGGGCGAGAGCCUGAACCAGCCAAGUAGCGUGAAGGAUGAAGGCUCUAUGGGUCGUAAACUUCUUUUAUAUGGGAAUAAAGUUUUCCACGUGUGGAAUUUUGUAUGUACCAUAUGAAUAAGGAUCGGCUAACUCCGUGCCAGCAGCCGCGGUAAUACGGAGGAUCCGAGCGUUAUCCGGAUUUAUUGGGUUUAAAGGGAGCGUAGGUGGAUUGUUAAGUCAGUUGUGAAAGUUUGCGGCUCAACCGUAAAAUUGCAGUUGAAGCUGGCAGUCUUGAGUACAGUAGAGGUGGGCGGAAUUCGUGGUGUAGCGGUGAAAUGCUUAGAUAUCACGAAGAACUCCGAUGCGAAAGGCAGCUCACUAGACUGUCACUGACACUGAUGCUCGAAAGUGUGGGUAUCAAACAGGAUUAGAUACCCUGGUAGUCCACACAGUAAACGAUGAAUACUCGCUGUUUGCGAUAUACAGUAAGCGGCCAAGCGAAAGCAUUAAGUAUUCCACCUGGGGAGUACGCCGGCAACGGUGAAACUCAAAGGAAUUGACGGGGGCCCGCACAAGCGGAGGAACAUGUGGUUUAAUUCGAUGAUACGCGAGGAACCUUACCCGGGCUUAAAUUGCAACAGAAUAUAUUGGAAACAGUAUAGCCGUAAGGCUGUUGUGAAGGUGCUGCAUGGUUGUCGUCAGCUCGUGCCGUGAGGUGUCGGCUUAAGUGCCAUAACGAGCGCAACCCUUAUCUUUAAUUACUAACAGGUGAUGCUGAGGACUCUAGAGAGACUGCCGUCGUAAGAUGUGAGGAAGGUGGGGAUGACGUCAAAUCAGCACGGCCCUUACGUCCGGGGCUACACACGUGUUACAAUGGGGGGUACAGAAGGCGGCUACCUGGUGACAGGAUGCUAAUCCCAAAAACCUCUCUCAGUUCGGAUCGAAGUCUGCAACCCGACUUCGUGAAGCUGGAUUCGCUAGUAAUCGCGCAUCAGCCAUGGCGCGGUGAAUACGUUCCCGGGCCUUGUACACACCGCCCGUCAAGCCAUGAAAGCCGGGGGUACAUGAAGUACGUAACCGCAAGGAGCGUCCUAGGGUAAAACUAA